CCGUCACUGUGCCAUCGCUGCGUUUCCGAAUCUACCACUUGAAUGCAGGAAUCUGUAGUACCGCCAGGACUGGAGACGCAAACUUCAGCCAAGCCAGUGAAGACUUGAGGCCUGUCAACAUCCAUAUGGGAAACAGAUCCUUCCCAGCUGAGCCUUGAGCUAACUGCAGCCACAGAUGACACCUUGAUCAUAACCUUGUGAGAGACCUGAACCGGAACGACCCAGCUCAGCUGGUGGUUCCUGACCUGCAGCAACUGUAAGGUGACUGAACAGCGUCAAAGAGAUGGGGAGAGAGACAUGCUGGCAAAAAGACAGAGUGAGGACGGAGCAAAGCCCCAAUGCUGAAGAUGAAGAAAAAGAUGUUAAUAGAGACGUGAAAAGGAAAGCUUGAAUUAUGAUACUCCUGUGAUCCAGAAC